rnacentral:lncRNA from 1 species
GAGAUUGAAGAUGCUGCUGUUGCUCCUGCUCCUCACGAGCGUUUCCCAGCAUGCUCUGGCUGUGGUGGUGGAGGUAUAUGAGGGGGAGACUAUGUUUACAAAGGUUCGAUAC